rnacentral:miRNA from 1 species
CGGGCAAGCUUGAAAAAUAUGCCUGACCACGGUGGUCGUAGGUUCGAUUCCCACCGUGGUCAGGCAUAUUUUUCAAGCUUGCCCG